AUAUGCCAAGACUGGAAGGCAUGGUAAGAUUGCCCUGGGGUACAGCUGGAGGAAUGGGUUUCUGAGGCCGCCGUGGACCUCUCCGCCGCUUCUUCUUGUGUUUUUUGGAUGUUGUCCUCGCUCAAUACUCUUAAGCUGUGCUAGCCUUGUUUUUCCAAAGGAUAUUAAACAGCUUGAUGUUGGUCUGAAGUCACAUACACCAGAUUCAAAGGCAAGGCCUCCAGAAUUUGUCAAGUAAUCGGACAGCAACUAGACCCAUAAGAUACCAGCUCUGUUAGCUCUCAGCUCUGCUGCAGUCCAGCUAGUACAAGAACC